rnacentral:sRNA from 1 species
GGUGUUCUUGCCCCAUGCACCUGGUUCUACUUCAAGAUGAGCUAUCAUGUGGAGAACCUCCAACAUGUUCUCCUCAGCAGUUUACUUGUUUCACGGGGGAAAUUGACUGUAUCCCUGUGGCUUGGCGGUGUGAUGGGUUUACUGAAUGUGAAGACCACAGUGAUGAACUCAAUUGUCCUGUAUGCUCAGAGUCCCAGUUCCAGUGUGCCAGUGGGCAGUGUAUUGAUGGUGCCCUCCGAUGCAAUGGAGAUGCAAACUGCCAGGACAAAUCAGAUGAGAAGAACUGUGAAGUGCUUUGUUUAAUUGAUCAGUUCCGCUGUGCCAAUGGUCAGUGCAUUGGAAAGCACAAGAAGUGUGAUCAUAAUGUGGAUUGCAGUGACAAGUCAGAUGAACUGGAUUGUUGAAUGUCUCGAGGUAAAUCAAUGAUCAGCUCCCUCAGUAUCAUGGGGGGAAGCAGUGGACCCCCCUAUGAC